rnacentral:rRNA from 1 species
GACGAACGCUGGCGGCGUGCUUAACACAUGCAAGUCGAACGGAAAGGCCCUGCUUGCAGGGUACUCGAGUGGCGAACGGGUGAGUAACACGUGGGUGAUCUGCCCUGCACUUCGGGAUAAGCCUGGGAAACUGGGUCUAAUACCGGAUAGGAGCCAUUUUUAGUGUGAUGGUUGGAAAGUUUUUUCGGUGUAGGAUGAGCUCGCGGCCUAUCAGCUUGUUGGUGGGGUAAUGGCCUACCAAGGCGGCGACGGGUAGCCGGCCUGAGAGGGUGGACGGCCACAUUGGGACUGAGAUACGGCCCAGACUCCUACGGGAGGCAGCAGUGGGGAAUAUUGCACAAUGGGCGAAAGCCUGACGGAGCAACGCCGCGUGAGUGAUGAAGGUCUUCGGAUCGUAAAACUCUGUUAUUAGGGAAGAACAUAUGUGUAAGUAACUGUGCACAUCUUGACGGUACCUAAUCAGAAAGCCACGGCUAACUACGU